rnacentral:rRNA from 1 species
AGCGAACGCUGGCGGCAGGCUUAACACAUGCAAGUCGGGCGGGCAUCCUUGUGGUGUCAGCGGCAGACGGGUGAGUAACGCGUGGGAACGUGCCCUUCGGUUCGGAAUAACUCAGGGAAACUUGAGCUAAUACCGGAUACGUGCGAGAGCAGAAAGGUUUAUCUGCCGAAGGAUCGGCCCGCGUCUGAUUAGCUAGUUGGUGAGGUUACGGCUCACCAAGGCGACGAUCAGUAGCUGGUCUGAGAGGAUGAUCAGCCACACUGGGACUGAGACACGGCCCAGACUCCUACGGGAGGCAGCAGUGGGGAAUAUUGGACAAUGGGGGCAACCCUGAUCCAGCCAUGCCGCGUGAGUGAUGACGGCCUUAGGGUUGUAAAGCUCUUUUCUCCGGGACGAUAAUGACGGUACCGGAGGAAUAAGCCCCGGCUAACUUCGUG